rnacentral:rRNA from 1 species
UAGGGAAUCUUCGGCAAUGGACGAAAGUCUGACCGAGCAACGCCGCGUGAGUGAAGAAGGUUUUCGGAUCGUAAAACUCUGUUGUUAGAGAAGAACAAGGACGUUAGUAACUGAACGUCCCCUGACGGUAUCUAACCAGAAAGCCACGGCUAACUACGUGCCAGCAGCCGCGGUAAUACGUAGGUGGCAAGCGUUGUCCGGAUUUAUUGGGCGUAAAGCGAGCGCAGGCGGUUUCUUAAGUCUGAUGUGAAAGCCCCCGGCUCAACCGGGGAGGGUCAUUGGAAACUGGGAGACAUGAGUGCAGAAGAGGAGAGUGGAAUUCCAUGUGUAGCGGUGAACUGCGUAGAUAUAUGGAGGAACACCAGUGGCGAAGGCGGCUCUCUGGUCUGUAACUGACGCUGAGGCUCGAAAGCGUGGGGAGCAAACAGG